GCAUACGGCUCAGUAACACGUAGUCAAUCUAACCUAUGGACGUGGAUAACCUCGGGAAACUGAGAAUAAUCCGCGAUAGAUCAUAAUUCCUGGAAUGGUUUAUGGUCCAAAUGAUUCGUCGCCAUAGGAUGGGACUGCGGCCUAUCAGCUUGUUGGUGAGGUAAUGGCUCACCAAGGCUAUUACAGGUACGGGCUCUGAGAGGAGAAGCCCGGAGAUGGGUACUGAGACACGGACCCAGGCCCUAUGGGGCGCAGCAGGCGAGAAACCUUUGCAAUGUGCGCAAGCACGACAAGGUUAAUCCGAGUGUUUCCUGCUAAAGGAAUCUUUUGUUAGUUCUAAAACCACUGAUGAAUAAGAGGUGGGCAAGUUCUGGUGUCAGCCGCCGCGGUAAAACCAGCACCUCAAGUGGUCAGGAGGAUUAUUGGGCCUAAAGCAUCCGUAGCCGGUUCUGUAAGUUUUCGGUUAAAUCCACUAGCUUAACUAAUGGGCUGCCGAAAAUACUGCAGAACUAGGGAGUGGGAGAGGUAGACGGUACUCGGUAGGAAGGGGUAAAAUCCUUUGAUCUAUUGAUGACCACCUGUGGCGAAGGCGGUCUACCAGAACACGUUCGACGGUGAGGGAUGAAAGCUGGGGGAGCAAACCGGAUUAGAUACCCGGGUAGUCCCAGCUGUAAACGAUGCAAACUCGGUGAUGCACUGGCUUGUGGCCA
rnacentral:rRNA from 1 species